AGGAGAUGAUGCCUAUGUGAAUCAUGCUUGCCAAGCCGGUGUAUUGCCAGAAAAGAUAUGUGGCUUUCUGGCCUGCCACAGUUGUGACCAGUUAGUAUUGCUGUUGCUGUUUUUGUCUUUAUCUGCCCAAGAGUGAACAUCCGUCAUAGCGGGUUCUCUCAAAUGCUUUCUGCCUUGCUUUGUUUGUCUCUCCUGGAUCUUUAGCCCCGCUUUCAGCACUGGUUUGACCUGACUUUAGAGACCACUUGAGAUGGACAUGCAAUGGGGCAUAUGGGGAAUGUCCCUAGGUGGAUGUCUCUGGGCCUGUCUGCUGUGCCUCUGCCACAACACACAAGAGCAUGACAGUCUCUGAGCUUGCACCA
rnacentral:lncRNA from 1 species